UGGGGAAUUUUGGACAAUGGGGGCAACCCUGAUCCAGCAAUGCCGCGUGAGUGAAGAAGGCCUUCGGGUUGUAAAGCUCUUUUGUCAGGGAAGAAACGGUGUGGGCUAAUAUCCUGCACUAAUGACGGUACCUGAAGAAUAAGCACCGGCUAACUACGUGCCAGCAGCCGCGGUAAUACGUAGGGUGCAAGCGUUAAUCGGAAUUACUGGGCGUAAAGCGUGCGCAGGCGGUUUUGUAAGUCUGUCGUGAAAUCCCCGGGCUCAACCUGGGAAUUGCGAUGGAGACUGCAAGGCUAGAAUCUGGCAGAGGGGGGUAGAAUUCCACGUGUAGCAGUGAAAUGCGUAGAGAUGUGGGGGAACACCGAUGGCGAAGGCAGCCCCCUGGGUCAAGAUUGACGCUCAUGCACGAAAGCGUGGGGAGCAAACAGGAUUAGAUACCCCAGUAGUCCCUGAGCGGGCUGGCAAGGCGCAU
rnacentral:rRNA from 1 species